rnacentral:rRNA from 1 species
GUGAGGAAUAUUGGUCAAUGGGCGGGAGCCUGAACCAGCCAAGUCGCGUGAAGGAAGAAGGAUCUAUGGUUCGUAAACUUCUUUUGCAGGGGAAUAAAGUGCAGGACGUGUCCUGUUUUGUAUGUACCCUGAGAAUAAGGAUCGGCUAACUCCGUGCCAGCAGCCGCGGUAAUACGGAGGAUCCGAGCGUUAUCCGGAUUUAUUGGGUUUAAAGGGUGCGUAGGUGGUUUGAUAAGUCAGCGGUGAAAGUUUGCAGCUUAACUGUAAAAAUGCCGUUGAAACUGUCGGACUAGAGUGUAAAUGAGGUAGGCGGAAUGCGUGGUGUAGCGGUGAAAUGCAUAGAUAUCACGCAGAACUCCGAUUGCGAAGGCAGCUUACUAAGCUACAACUGACACUGAAGCACGAAAGCGUGGGGAUCAAACAGGAUUAGAAACCCGAGUAGUCC